rnacentral:rRNA from 1 species
GGUAGGAUAGAAGCCUACCAUGGUUUCAACGGGUAACGGGGAAUAAGGGUUCGAUUCCGGAGAGGGAGCCUGAGAAACGGCUACCACAUCCAAGGAAGGCAGCAGGCGCGCAAAUUACCCAAUCCCGACACGGGGAGGUAGUGACAAUAAAUAACAAUACGGGGUUCUUUCGGAUCUCGUAAUUGGAAUGAGUACAAUUUAAAUCUCUUAACGAGGAACAAUUGGAGGGCAAGUCUGGUGCCAGCAGCCGCGGUAAUUCCAGCUCCAAUAGCGUAUAUUAAAGUUGUUGCAGUUAAAAAGCUCGUAGUUGAAUUUCGGGAUCAAUAUGUUGGUCGUGCCUUGGUACGUACUGGCGUCAUUGGUUUCUACCUUCUGAAGAACCUCGAUGUCAUUAAUUUGGUGUCUUGGGGAAUCAGGACUGUUACUUUGAAAAAAUUAGAGUGUUUAAAGCAGGCUCACGCUUGAAUACAUUAGCAUGGAAUAAUGAAAUAGGACGUUUGAUUCUAUUUUGUUGGUUUCUAGGAUCGACGUAAUGAUUAAUAGGGAUAGUUGGGGGCAUUAGUAUUCAAUUGUCAGAGGUGAAAUUCUUGGAUUUAUUGAAGACUAACUACUGCGAAAGCAUUUGCCAAGGAUGUUUUCAUUAAUCAAGAACGAAAGUUAGGGGAUCGAAGACGAUCAGAUACCGUCGUAGUCUUAACCAUAAACUAUGCCGACUAGGGAUCGGAUGAUGUUAAUUUUUUAAUGACUCAUUCGGCGCCUUACGGGAAACCAAAGUGUUUGGGUUC